AUACUUACCUGGCAGGGGAGAUACCAUGAUCACGAAGGUGGUUUUCCCAGGGCGAGGCUUAGCCAUUGCACUCCGGAUGUGCUGACCCCUGCGAUUUCCCCAAAUGCGGGCGGGGGGGGGGGGGGGAUAAUUUUACUUUAAUUAAAGAUAAUUAAGAAAUAAAACUUAU